rnacentral:lncRNA from 1 species
GAAGGUGGUAAGGUUCCACAUCAGCCUACAGUGUAGUACAAGGGAAAGUUUCCCUUAGAACAGAUCGUAAUGUUUAAGAAGUGCUGGGUGUCAUAUUGCAUCUUUCUUAGCCCUUUCGGACAAGAUAGAGUUUUUUUCUAUCAUUCUUGACAGUGGCAAUAGAGGUCGCACUUGGUGCGAUGGCAAGUGCCUUCGCCCAUGAGCGGUAGGUCUCGGGUUCGAGACUUGGGAGCAGCCUCUCUAUAAAAUGGGGGUAAGGCUAGCCGACAUUCACCUCUCCCAGACCCUGCGUAAAGUGGGAGCCUUGUGCACUGGGUACGACCUUGACAGUGGCGAUAUUCCUAAGGUUUGCGGAACAAGGGAAACGCAGUCUGCGGGUUACAGCAUGUGUCAUACUAUCAGCGAUUCAGCAUCAAAGAGUAAUUCUCCUCGACAGCCAGACUUCCAACCCCAUUCCUCUUC